rnacentral:rRNA from 1 species
UACAGAGGUCUCAAGCGUUGUUCGGAUUCAUUGGGCGUAAAGGGUGCGUAGGCGGCGCGGUAAGUCGGGUGUGAAAUCUCGGGGCUUAACUCCGAAACUGCAUUCGAUACUGCCGUGCUUGAGGACUGGAGAGGAGACUGGAAUUUACGGUGUAGCGGUGAAAUGCGUAGAUAUCGUAAGGAAGACCAGUGGCGAAGGCGGGUCUCUGGACAGUUCCCGACGCUGAGGCGCGAAAGCUAGGGGAGCAAACAGG